UAAGGAAUAUUGGACAAUGGGCGGAAGCCUGAUCCAGCCAUGCCGCGUGAAGGAUGAAGGCGCUCAGCGUUGUAAACUUCUUUUGGACGGGAACAAUAACCCCGACGUGAUCGGGGCUUGAGGGUACCGUCAGAAUAAGCACCGGCUAACUCCGUGCCAGCAGCCGCGGUAAUACGGAGGGUGCAAGCGUUAUCCGGAAUCACUGGGUUUAAAGGGUGCGUAGGCGGUCUGAUAAGUCAGUCGUGAAAUCGCUGGGCUUAACCUAUGCAACUGCGAUUGAUACUGUUAGACUUGAAUGGGGUUGAGGCAGGCGGAAUGUGGCAUGUAGCGGUGAAAUGCUUAGAUAUGCCAUAGAACACCAAUUGCGAAGGCAGCCUGCUGGGCCUUGAUUGACGCUGAGGCACGAAAGCGUGGGGAGCAAACAGG
rnacentral:rRNA from 1 species